UUUCCCAUUUAUUUGCUGUUCUAGUCUCUCAGUGAUAAGAGUAGUUAUACGCAUGGGAUAACAUAAUAUUGGGCCAUUGUAAAUUGAGAUGAAUAAUGUUUUGUCUUUUCUGCAUGGUGUAGGCAUUG
ensembl:snoRNA small nucleolar RNA SNORA20